CCUACGGGUGGCAGCAGUGAGGAAUAUUGGUCAAUGGGCGCGAGCCUGAACCAGCCAAGUCGCGUGAGGGAUGAAUGUUCUAUGGAUCGUAAACCUCUUUUAUAAGGGAAUAAUGUGUGGUACGUGUCCUAUUAUGUAUGUACCUUACGAAUAAGGAUCGGCUAACUCCGUGCCAGCAGCCGCGGUAAUACGGAGUGUCCGGGCGUUAUCCGGAUUUAUUGGGGUUACAGGGUGCGUAGGCGGCCUUUUAAGUUAGCGGGGAAAGUCUGUGGCUCACACAUAGUAAUGCCAUUGAAACUGGGGGGCUAGAGAAUGUUUGAGGCAGGCGGAAUGCGUGGUGUAGCGGUGAAAUGCUUAGAUAUAACGUAGAACCCCGAUAGCGAAGGCAGCCUGCCAGGCCAUGACUGACGCUGAUGCACGAGAGCGUGGGGAGCAAACAGGAUUAGAUACCCGGGUAGUC
rnacentral:rRNA from 1 species